GAUGAAGACGUAGCGAAAUGCGAUAAGUAAUGCGAAUUGCAGAAUUUCCGUGAGUCAUCGAAUCUUUGAACGCACAUUGCGCCCACUGGUAUUCCGGUGGGCAUGCCUGUUCGAGCGUCAUUAUCCUCCCUCAAACCUCGGGUUUGGUGUUGGACCCAAGUUGUGUGAACAACUGGUCUCAAAGACAAUGACGGCGUCCGUGGGACCCUCGGUGCAACGAGCUUUUAGGAGCACGCGUCGAGUUUCAAGGACCUUCCGGGCCGGUCUCCUUUACUAUUUUUACAAGGUUGACCUCGGAUCAGGUAGGAAUACCCGCUGAACUUAAGCAUAUCAAUAAGCGGAGGA
rnacentral:misc_RNA from 1 species